rnacentral:rRNA from 1 species
UACGGAGGGUGCAAGCGUUAUCCGGAUUUACUGGGGUUAAAGGGUGCGUAGGUGGGUAGGUAAGUCAGUGGUGAAAUCUUCGAGCUUAACUCGGAAACUGCCAUUGAUACUAUUUAUCUUGAAUACUUUGGAGGUAAGCGGAAUAUGUCAUGUAGCGGUGAAAUGCUUAGAUAUGACAUAGAACACCAAUUGCGAAGGCAGCUUACUACACAGUUAUUGACACUGAGGCACGAAAGCGUGGGGAUCAAACAGG